rnacentral:lncRNA from 1 species
GGGACACUUCUCAGAAGAGCAGUUAGUUGAACAGUUCUGGGCUGCGCACAGUUGCUGAGGGAGACAUCGGCUCCAGUGAGCUUCUCUUGCUGCAGCAGUUUCCAGCUGGCACCUCUGCCCCCUCCCCACAAUCCUGCACCUUUGGAACAGCGGCAUCAUCCAGAGCCCAGCUCAGUUGAACCGCCCAGUAUCUGCCAAGUCCAAAGGAAGAAAUAUGCAAGACAUCAUUUUGCCUACCUUAUUCUACCUGAAUACAUGGCUUGCUUUAAAACCAGGAGAUACAAGUGGACAGUAUUCUGAGCUUAAUCUUGGAGCCAUUGAGGGAGCAUCUUCACAGCAUUUCUGCACUCAGGUGUGUUUUGUGCAGCAGUAACUUACGUAUUUACUACCUAUAGCAGAGACUUUGACCCUUAACUAUAUUUUAUUUUCAUUUGUAUUAUUGUAUGUCACUGUUCAAUGAUUUUCUCAUGUGCAUAUCCUUAAAUCUGCUAUGUUGUCUUUUUACUUUAAUCAAAGUCUACCAUAUUUAUUGCUCUGAAUUUUCUUUAAAAUUCAGCAUUUAAACUCUAUUGGAAGUUAACAUAUUGUGAAACAUAUGUGCUUCUUAUUAGAGUGAAGACAUUAUUU